CGGGGAUGGGCGGGGACAAUGGCGGGAUGGGCGGGGACAAUGGCGGGAUGGGCGGGGCCUAGGGGUCGGACUGCCGGACCUCUCCUCGGCGCGUCCCAGCGACUUUUUUAGGCCUGUUUGUCGCCCAGCAGUACUCGAUUCUUCACUUUUGGAUUCCCUUGAAUCUCUAUGGUGUCCUUUGGAGCCUAGCUAAGUAAAAAAUUAGAGACCUGUGGGCCCCUUAUAUUGGAAUCGGAGCUUAAGAUGGGAAAGGUUUGCUUGAAAACGUUUCUGCGAGCGAUGGAGGCGCGUCCUGCGACGAGGCGGGAGGAGCGCUGGGACCUGGUGGAUGGGAGAGGGCGACGGUAUAAGGAAGCUCUUGGAUCCAGGAACUUCUGAAAUCCGGACGAUUAAAAUUUGUAUUUAAUUAAGCGAAAGCUGGAGUUGUCUGCGUAGGUGAUGGAAACUGGAAUGAGAUGCAUUUUUGUGCCUGUGCGGAGUGUACAAUUUUAUAUUGACUUUCACUGGAACGUAAUUUUUAUUUCCGCUCCCCAGUCACCCAGGAGGCAGAGAUGCACCAUGGGCUGAGUUCCAGAGAAUUUAUGGGGUCAGACCCUGGGCGGUGGGGGGUGGAAGGCUGAGGCUUGGCUUUAAAAGAACGCAAAGUUCUGCUUGUAUCGAUCUAAAUUUAUUUUCCUUUAUUAUCCUAAUGCACAUUUCUUGAGAUAAAUUACAAAUCCAAGUGCUGGAUUUAUUGGAGUUGGGGGAAGAAAUCGUCAUAAGUGAAAGGUUAUUUUCCAUGAAAAUGUGGCCCACAACUCGUGUUGCCAUGCAGAACCUUCUGCUUACUCAAUAUUGAGUGCUGGAAAAUGACAGAAUGGCCUCUGUGGACCUGAAAAUUGGAAUGAUCUUCCUAUUUGUGGGCAGCAAGCCACCCAGCUGCCGAGGCAAGAGACCGAGGGCACGAGCUGUUCCAGCAUAAUAAAAUAUAUAAAACAACAAGAGUUAUAUUAGAUCU
rnacentral:lncRNA from 1 species